UGAUGUUGUUUUGUGAGAUGUGUGAGCAUUGAGAGAGAAAGCAUAUGAUCGCCGAGAAGAGAGAGAAGAGAGAGAGAAGAGAGAGAGAAGAUCUGAUGUUGUUUUGUGAGAUGUGUGAGCAUUGAGAGAGAAAGCAUAUGGUGAUCCGUGUGAAGUCAAAUGGACGGUCCCGAUCUUGAUCCGUGUGAGAAAGUUUAACAAUUGGACGGCAGAUGUAUACCCUUGUAAAGGGUAAAAGGGUUUGUGUUUUCUUGUGCCUUAACAGUUGUACAUUGUGCAUUAAGUGUUUUUUCAACACCUUGU
rnacentral:lncRNA from 1 species